UACGUAGGGUGCGAGCGUUAAUCGGAAUUACUGGGCGUAAAGUGUGCGCAGGCGGCGUUGCAAGUCGAGUGUGAAAUCCCCGAGCUUAACUUGGGAAUUGCGCUCGAAACUACGAUGCUCGAGUAUGGCAGAGGAAGGUGGAAUUCCACGUGUAGCGGUGAAAUGCGUAGAGAUGUGGAGGAACACCAAUGGCGAAGGCAGCCUUCUGGGCCAACACUGACGCUCAUGCACGAAAGCGUGGGGAGCAAACAGG
rnacentral:rRNA from 1 species